GGAAGCUAACAGUUUCAACGACAAUAUUGCUACUAAUGAAAAUUCGUUAUUUUCAGAACCUUUUCAAUUCCUGGGUUAUUAACAUGUACUAUUGGAUUCCUUUACAAAUCUAAAAUGGACUAGAAGAUUUGAAUUAAGUGGAAAUCGUAGUUGGAGAGAAACAGGAGUUGCAUCGAAGAAAGAAAAUUAUUGCAAGAAUUGUAUCUACAACCGUGGUAAAGGAACGACAAAUCGAAUAUAUAAUCUUAACGCAAUCAGUUAUUCACUGUUGAAGAGGAUAACCGCCGUGAAACCAGUGAAACGUGUUUAGAGUUUACCUUGAAAGUGUCUAUGAAAAAUGCUAUAAAGAAGUUUACAGUCAUUAUAUGCAAAUACGUAAAGGUCAUAAGUUUUUCUACGGUUAAGACUGAGCAUAAAAAGGUAUUACUGCAAGGAGAAGCGUGUGUCGCAUCAUAAUGAAUUUUAAAUGUUUCUAGUUGCGCCAUUCUGGGUUCUAAGAGUUGCUGCUGUGAACCAGCACCGGUAUGUAGAGCAGUCUAAAACAAAAGAAAAAUUCAGGUUAUAUAAAUAUCUAUGUCGAAUUCUUAGAACCAGGCAAUGGUACAGAUUUUUGUGACCGUACGAUCAAACAUACAAAUCUGUAGAAUGUUCUAUUCUAUUUUAAAUCGUACAGUUUGAAACAAAAUAUUUUGUAAAUGGUUGAUAUAAAGAUUAAUUAUGUACAUUAAUUGGUUUCUUGUUUAUUUAGCUUUGAAAUUGAUUCUCGCAAAUGAUGAUCGAAGCUUUCAAAUUGCUUGAAAACAAUUAUAAGAAUAGAACUAAUGCUAAAUCGAAAUAUUUAGUCACAUAAGUAACUAAAUAAUUAAAUGAUACAGUAACUUGAUUGAUAAAACUUAAUAGGAGCUAUGAUAUCAAAUCAUUUAUAAUUAAUCCUAAUAUUUGCCAUUGUUUGUUAUAAUAUCAUUCAAUUCAAUUUCAUAAUAUCAGCAUUCUGAUAUCAGUUUUGCCAUUGUUAGGAAAGAAUAAACAUGAUUUAUACAUAUUUGAACAAAAAAUAUCGGAAGUGAGUAAAGGAAAAAGUUGAAAUAUAUUCUGUGAUGUCGUGUUGCCUAUGAAACUUAGACGAAUAUCAGAUGCCUAAGGAAGAUAUUCUAGCAUAAGACAACGCGUAUUCAAAUUUUACGGUUUUAAAAAGAGUAAAAUUUGUAGUGAACUCUGCACUGUAUCAUAUAAUAUAAAGCGAAAUGAACGUCAUUAUGUGCACUCAAUGUACAAUACACAUCCCAUUCUUUUGAAGUGAACCAAGCCAAAUUGGACACGCAGUCCAUUUGUCGCAUCCGGUUUGGCAACUGCAACGGAAGUAUUUAUGAA